UCGGGGGUCCGGGCCCACUGGGGAGGUCUCCGCCCUCUCAACUCGCCUGUAGCCCUUCCUUCUCGCAGUCUGUGUUCGUUCCAAACGGUUCCCCUCCUGACCUCUGUGCACGAGUGAUUGUUUCAGGGCCGCAGACGCAGGACUUGAGGGGUCUGGACGCUGUGGCUGUGCCUUUAUUCCUCUGACCAGCAGAGGAUGCUCUGUUACCACGCUCCCGCAUCCCCUGGCCGCAAGCGCACGGGGCUUCAGAGCGCGUCCUCAGAGCUGCGCCACCGGCAUCUGAAUGACCAUCGAAUACAUCGGUUAGGCCUCAGGACUCCCCUGCUGGUUCACUUGGGCGGCGUUUGUUUGCAAAGGACUGCACUUUGAAAAGGAUUUACCUUGACGUACUGUUUUUAAAGAAUUGAGAGGGGGAAGCCAACUUUUCUCAUUUCAGUUAAAUCUAAAGCAGUACAUGUGCUUAAAAGAUGAGGCGAGCCAGUUCCUGAUGAGCAUCUGUUAUCGUAAGUAUAUAUUCUUUUGUAUUUGGGGUUCUUUAUAAACCACUAAUGUGUGUUUUUAAAGGCCAGUUCUUUCAACACCAACUCUUAUUUUUAGAAGAUAUUCUUACUAAGCUAGGAACAAUAUUUUAUUGAUGUAAUUGUUAAAAAUCUGUCUCAAGUGAGUAACCAACACUGUACUUGACAGUACAAGGCACUCCCUUAUUGUCCUAAGUGCCACUGUAUUUUAACGUCGUUCUAAAAGUUGUAGCUCUUACACUACUAACACAUGAAAAGAGAAGGACAUUUGACCCUUGAACAACUCUUACACAUACAGUGCUCGGGGGAGGCCUGUUUCCUGAGUAAGAGGCUAAGAGUAGUUAAGAAAUAAAAUGUACUAUGUACGUACACUAGAAUAUUAUACAAAAGUUAAAUUUUAAAAUAUGUUUGUGUAUAUAUAUAUACAUGUGCACAUGCACACACAUAUAUAUGCAUCAUUCUCAGAAGCACACUGAAUGUGAAAAAAAGUUGCCCAAAAAGCCCAGAAUAUACUGUUCAUGUUUUAAACUUAAAAAACAUCACCAUAUGUAUAUGUGUGUGUAUGUAUGCACAUACACAUAUGUACUAUGUAUAGUAAAAUAUAAAAACAUUAACAUGAAAUGCGUGUGGUUGCCUUGAGGAUGGAGAAAUUGAGGAAGAACAGGAAGGCCUCUGACAUAUAAAGAGGCUUCUUUAUAAACAAUAUGUUAACAUUUAUUCUGGGCGGUUGAUUAUGUGGGAUUUUGCUGUAUGUUUUUUUCUGAAUUAAAUUUUCAGAAGCUGCUGAUGGUAAUCUUUCGGGUCGAGUCAGAGAGGUAGCUUUCAGUCUAUCAUCUAACCUGAGGCUCCUCUCCUUCCCAGGCUGAAAUUUGUCUUCGGCUCAUCAGCCGUCCAGGCCUUGGACCUAGUUGACCACCAGUCCGUUACCUUAAUCUCCUCGCCCAGCGGGAGGCGUGUUUACCAGGUGCUUGGAAGCUCCGGGAGAACGUACACAUGUCUGGCUUCUUGCCACUACUGCUCGUGCCCGGCAUUCGCCUUCUCCGUGCUGCGGAAGGGGGACAGCCUCGUGUGCAAGCACCUCUUGGCAGUUUACCUGAGUCAGGUCACGAGGACCUGUCAGCAGCUGAGUGUCUCUGACAAGCAACUGACUGACAUACUGUCAGCGGAGAAGACACAGGAAGCAUAAAAGUGCAGAUGGAGCAUCACUGACCAUCUUUCAAAGAAGAAGUCCCGUCCAGAGAUGCACGUGCCCUGUCACGCGAGGUUCACAUAAAGGAGAUGUGGACUAGACUUCACAGUAGUGUCCCCUUCCGCCCUGGACUCCAGACCCAGGACGUGUAUAUGGCGUGAAGCCCUCGUGAAAAAUCCAGCCUCCAGGCUCCAUGGGUAGAAAAUUUCCAGAUGUAAUCAAGCAUCUUAGACUCCAAAGCCUAACAUUAAGUCGCAUCCACAGUGAGUUAGAUUUUCAAACAACCGAAGUCCUAGUCCUUCUUAAGAGGUUAGAAUGGGAGAGGAGACAGUACGAUGGUUUAGAUGCACAAGCGUUAGUUCUUCUUCUUGGGCCCAGAAAGUCUUUCUGCAGUAAAAGGUCAGAGCACAGAUGUGGCUGUAACAGCAGCAGAUAUAAAGAGACGUUGGGGUUGCUGGGUUCAGCAGGCUCCAGACAUUUGCAGUGUUGAGGCCAAGCAGUUGCUUAAAUAGGCUGGGCUGUUGGAAAGGCAGCACCUAGAACAAGGAAGUGCAGGUCUGCUCAGAGUAUUUCUGAGCUUCGUAACAAGCGGGUGAGGGAGGCAGCCAGACAUGCUGCCAGGUGUUCCAGGCCGAGUGAGAAAAGGCAGAUCUCCAGAGGCUGUGAGGCGGGAGAGGAAUAGGACUCGUUUGGAUCCUGAGAGAGAGCAUAGGAGCUGUGAUGGAAAUGAACACGAGACGGAGCUGAGACAGGACAGGCACCUCCCUCGGGGACAACCGUUCACAGCUGGGUCCUUGGACAAGCUUUCCCGUCUUUCUGGGGCUUCACGUCCUUGCAGGGUUACUGCAGGAGGAGCUGAGCCAGCCACCAGACAGGCAAAGUGGAUGGUCUUGGAGCCUAGGUACUCCCAACCCUGUACCCCUGAAACAGGAGGUGCUAAGGAAUGAAUGUGUGAAAGGUCACAACGGCACAAGCUUCUGUGGUUGGCACAGCUGUCUCCUAGGCGAUGGUGUGGCAAAUAAAACCUGUCAAGGCUCAACUCAGGAAAA